rnacentral:rRNA from 1 species
AGUGAACGCUGGCGGCAGGCCUAACACAUGCAAGUCGAGCGGCAGCGCGGGGGCAACCCUGGCGGCGAGCGGCGGACGGGUGAGGAAUUCGUCGGAAUCUGCCUUUUUGUGGGGGAUAACGUAGGGAAACUUACGCUAAUACCGCAUACGUCCUACGGGAGAAAGUGGGGGACCGCAAGGCCUCACGCAGAAAGAUGAGCCGACGACCGAUUAGCUAGUUGGUGGGGUAAAGGCCCACCAAGGCGACGAUCGGUAGCUGGUCUGAGAGGAUGAUCAGCCACACUGGGACUGGGACACGGCCCAGACUCCUACGGGAGGCAGCAGUGGGGAAUAUUGGACAAUGGGCGCAAGCCUGAUCCAGCCAUGCCGCGUGUGUGAAGAAGGCCUUCGGGUUGUAAAGCACUUUUGUCCGGAAAGAAAUCCCUGGAGCUAAUACCUUCGGGGGAUGACGGUACCGGAAGAAUAAGCACCGGCUAACUUCGU